rnacentral:tRNA from 1 species
GCUGGUGUGGCUCAGUGGAUAGAGCAUCAGCUCGAGGACUGAGGGUCCCAGGUUCGAAUUCUGGUCAAGGGCA